AGGGCACUACCAGGAGUGGAUCCUGCGGCUCAAUUUGACUCAACACGGGAAAGCUCACCUGGUCCGGACACUGGAAGGAUUGACAGAUUAAGAGCUCUUUCUUGAUUCAGUGGGUGGUGGUGCAUGGCCGUUCUUAGUUGGUGGAGCGAUUUGUCUGGUUAAUUCCGAUAACGAACGAGACUCUAGCCUACUAAAUAGGUGUUCCGAUCCCAUCAGUCGGACGCUCUUCUUAGAGGGACAAGCGGCGUUUAGCCGCACGGGACAGAGCAAUAACAGGUCUGUGAUGCCCUUAGAUGUCCGGGGCCGCACGCGCGCUACACUGAAGGAACCAGCGUGUGUCCCUGUCCGGCAGGACUGGGUAAUCCGUUGAACCUCCUUCGUGAUAGGGAUAGGGGCUUGUAAUUGUUCCCCUUGAACGAGGAAUUCCCAGUAAGCGUGAAUCAUCAGUUCACGUUGAUUACGUCCCUGGCCUUUGUACACACCGCCCGUCGCUACUACUGAUUGGAUGAUUUAGUGAGG
rnacentral:rRNA from 1 species